UCCAGCAAUGCGGUGAGGAAAGCACUAUUAAUAGUUUAAAAUUGAGUAACGAGCAAUUGAGUAACUUACCCACAGCAGCUCAGCAGAUUGGGGAACCUGAGAACUGUUGGCUUGGCUCAGAACUACCGCUAUUUGUUUGUUUGGAGGGGGGAGGGGAGUUAGUUCAUCUUUUCCAGUUGGAAUCUCUCUCCCAGCAUCCUCUUCGAAUUCUUCUUCACUUGGCUUCAGCUUGUACACCUGCAGGGACGGAGAGCUCACUACCUCCCCGGGGAUCUAGCUCUGGCUGCAUCAGUAUGAAAACACUCCCUCAAGUUUGUGGAGUGCUUAAUAAGUCUUCAAGACUCAGAGUGGUUUCCUGGGAAACAGAGCAGCUUGCUCAACCCCCAGGGACAUGGUGUGGUCUGGAUUACAAGUGAAGAAAUUUAGAAGGAGCCAAAAACCUCACGUUUUGUUGCCACGAGAGAGAGGACAUGUUGUGGACCCACAAGCAGAGGCUUUAUUGUGCUGGAUCUUCCCUACCAGAUGAGACCGAAAUCAAAGACCAGAAAUUGCAACUGAAAACAUUUCGUCCAACAACUCGAGGGAAGAAAUCGGGACAGCUUAAACUCCUGGUGGUUCCAGCACUGGCUGACCGUCUUGUUUUACCCUAUGACACUGUCAGGGACCGGAGACUUUCACCCAUGUGUUCAAGGGUUUUAUAUUCUAGUGUGGCUUGGUGUGAUGAAGUAGAUGGUGAUGAAACUCAAGACUCACUCCUUUGACAAAUGCCCAAGUGGUGCUGAUGCUGGGAGUCCAGGCAGCAUUCUCUGAGAAUCACUGCUUUAUUUACUAUAAAUACACAGAGUUAGUAGGCACUUGGCCCUGGGGAUGUGAAGUGAGUAAGGCAAAGUGGUACCCACUCAUUGGAUAGAAUCAAGCCAGGGCAUCAUGUGAUGGGUUAGAAAGCAGGUUCUAGAAUUAGACACAAUGGAUUCAAGGCCGGAGUCUGUGACUAUACAUGGAAGAGCCGCCUAAUUUUUUGAAAUUGUCUCAUGGGAAUAAUUAUGUAUCAUGUCUCAGUUGACCAGAGGAACAGUUGAGAAAACGGAUAUAGACAUGUGUGCUCAGAAGUGUUUGUAAGAUAAGUAAUGUGACUUAGCAUGUGGUUACUAUUGUUACUGGGUGAUUGUCCACAGUGGUGUGACUAACUAGGUCUUGUGGUGGUAGUGUUGGGGGUGACAUUCAUUUAUCAGUUCAUUCCGCACAAUUGUAUUGACCUCCAAGAACAUCCAGGGUGUGGGAAACACAGGCAAACACUUUGGCCACAGAUCUCUCCUCUCAUGGGGUACAGGAUGGGUGGGUCGGUUGAAGGGGGGAAUUGGUUAGCAAAAGGCACAUGAAUUUACAAGACUCCAGAGAAGUGUGAUGUAUGACAAAGAGGAACUAAACAGACCAGGGAAUAGAUGCUUUUUUAGGGAUCAGAGUCAUCUGAGGUCCCUAUGACAAGGUGUCCACUGAGGAAAGAGCCCACUAAGCCUUAGGAAAAGCUAGUUGUAUCUGUGGGGUAUCCUAGGAACGGUAGGCCCAGGUCUGUGCACUGUGCCCCAGCUGGGCAUCUCAUGCUAUCCAUCCUCUAAAGGCCUUCAGGGAGUCCAGACCUUGGACUUUAGAAGCACUAACCCUCCAGAAGCAUGUAUUCUUAUACUUGGGGGCUGCUCAACUUGGCUACUACAUAUGAGCCGCUUUAGAGGUGGCCAACUGCAUUGGCCAUUUUCUUGUCUGAGCCUGGCUUGAUGGACAUGUCCAAAGGAUGAUAAUCUCACCUUUACCUCCAGUAGAGUGAGAGUCAUAAACACAUCUGGUUGUAAAUGCUUUGCAAGCUGGACACUUAAUAGGUGCUCCGUGAAUAGCCUCCCGAGGCUUGGCUCGGGGUGAGCCUCAGAUCAGAAUUCUUCUUAUUGUGCAAGGGUAUGUGUUCUAUUUGCACAAAUUUACGUAAAACCUCAAAUGUUGCAUCCCUUUUCUGCCCUUAGUUCCUGUAAGCACACAUCAUUUGAAAAUUGGUCUCCCUUUUCU
ensembl:lincRNA